UGAAUACGAGACGCUAAGGCGUCGAAGUAGUGUAUGUCAUACUUCCAAGAAAAGCUUGCACUGUCAUAGAUAAAAAACGCCUGUACCAUAACCGACACAGGUGGGUAGGUAGAGUAUACUAAGGGGCGCGAGAUAACUCUCUCUAAGGAACUCGGCAAAAUAACUCCGUAACUUCGGGAGAAGGAGUGCCUUAUUCGUAAGGUUGCAAUAACAAGAUCCAAGCAACUGUUUAUCAAAAACACAGGUCUCCGCUAAGUCGUAAGACGAUGUAUGGGGGCUGACGCCUGCCCAGUGCCAGAAGGUUAAAGAAGUUGGUUAGCAAUUGCGAAGCUGAUAACUGAAGCCCUGGUGAACGGCGGCCGUAACUAUAACGGUCCUAAGGUAGCGAAAUUCCUUGUCGGGUAAGUUCCGACCCGCACGAAAGGCGUAAUGAUUUGGAUACUGUCUCGGAGAGGGGCUCGGUGAAAUAGACUUGUCUGUGAAGAUGCGGACUACCUGCACCAGGACAGAAAGACCCUAUGAAGCUUUACUGUAACUUGAAAUUGAAAUUGGACUUUAUUCGCGCAGUAUAGGUGGGAGGCGUUGAUUAUAAUCUUGUGGGAUUAUUGGAGCCAUCAGUGAGAUACCACUCUUGUAAUGUUAGAUUUCUAACUUUGAAUCAUUAUCUGGUCAAAGAGCAGUUUCAGGCGGGCAGUUUGACUGGGGCGGUCGCCUCCUAAACGGUAACGGAGGCGUACAAAGGUUUCCUCUGAACGGUUAGAAAUCGUAUCUAGAGUGUAAAGGCAUAAGGAAGCUUGACUGUGAGACCUACAAGUCGAGCAGGGACGAAAGUCGGUCUUAGUGAUCUGACGGUACUGAGUGGAAAGGCCGUCACUCAACGGAUAAAAGUUACUCUAGGAUAACAGGCUGAUCUCCCCCAAGAGUUCACAUCGACGGGGAGGUUUGGCACCUCGAUGUCGGCUCAUCGCAUCCUGGGGCGGUAGUACGUCCCAAGGGUUGGGCUGUUCGCCCAUGAAAGCGGUACGCGAGCUGGGUUCAGAACGUCGUGAGACAGUUCGGUCCAUAUCCGGUGUAGGCGUUAGAAUAUUGAGAGGAGCCUUCUUUAGUACGAGAGGACCGAGAAGGACAUACCUCUGGUGUACCAGCUAUCGUGCCAACGGUAAACGCAGGGUAGCUAUGUAUGGAGUGGAUAACCGCUGAAAGCAUCUAAGUGGGAAGCCCACCUCAAGAUAAGUAUUCUCAC
rnacentral:rRNA from 1 species